rnacentral:rRNA from 1 species
ACGCUCGACACCUACGGAGGCAGCAGUCGGGAAUAUUGGGCAAUGGGCGCAAGCCUGACCCAGCAACGCCGCGUGAAGGAAGAAGGCCCCUCGGGUUGUAAACUUCUUUUGACAGGGACGAAACAAAUGACGGUACCUGUCGAAUAAGCCACGGCUAACUACGUGUCAGCAGCCGCGGUAAUCUGAGCGGGCUGGCAAGGC